rnacentral:tRNA from 1 species
GGGUCAUAAGCUCAGUUGGCUAGAGCGUUUGAAUGGCAUUCAAAGGUCGUGGGUUCGAUUCCCACUGGCUCCA